UACGGGGGGGGCAAGCGUUGUUCGGAAUUACUGGGCGUAAAGGGCUCGUAGGCGGCCAACUAAGUCAGACGUGAAAUCCCCAGGCUCAACCUGGGAACUGCGUCUGAUACUGGAUGGCUUGAAUUCGGGAGAGGGAUGCAGAAUUCCAGGUGUAGCGGUGAAAUGCGUAGAUAUCUGGAGGAAUACCGGUGGCGAAGGCGGCAUCCUGGACCGACAUUGACGCUGAGGAGCGAAAGCUAGGGGAGCGAACAGG
rnacentral:rRNA from 1 species